rnacentral:misc_RNA from 1 species
CAGAUAUGAACUUCUUCAGGGUGGCAGCUGAUGAACUUCAUAGAAGAUUGGUUUAAAAGUUUCAGAAAUGAACAGUUGCAAAUUGGCACACUGAGCAAGCUAGUUGCUUUCGGAAGAUAUUUAGUCUGAAGAAUGGAUUCAUUUGUAAAGCUUCUGUGGCUGUGACAGAUUUUGGAAGUUGUCAGUUCGCCAAGAACAAGUUAGAACCAUUAUAGAAUUCAGGUAGGCCGCUGUUGAGAAAUGGGGUUAAAGCAGUGUCAAAGAAAUAUCAGAUCAGAUAUUAUUUAACCUGAUAAUUUAUUUUGGAAAUUAAACCUAAGCAUUUUCCCUGAGGGUUGUUGGACUGAGAAGUAUCCCGAUCCUGUUCCAGCAGACACAGUCAAUUUUAACAAAUACACACCUGCCAGGCAACGGCCAAAAAGUCAUAUAGCUACAGACCCACUGAAGAAAAGAAGACUUUUAUCUGAAAUUGUUGCUAGAACCAAAUUUAUUAAACAUCGAAUGGAUCUGCAGAAAUACCAACAUCGGAGCCAGCUUAAGCAGUAUAGAUACAUCAAAAGAGCUGUCACCACUGGAUGUGCUGGCCUUAGUGGCAGAAAAUAAAAUUCUAUGGCAGCAGUUAGCCAAGCAUGUGCUGAACAGUCAGAUAAAAGUUAUCUUUAGAUAUUUACACAGGAUUUUCAUUUGUACAGUUCAUAAAUAUUUUCAAGUUUUUGGUGCCUUAGGAAUAUGCAUGACCAAUCAGUAUCAAGCAUCAGGGAUAUGAGAUUAGAGAUCAGCACUUGUGAAAUAAAGGUUAAGCUCGGA